ensembl:lncRNA
GUCAUUUUGGAAGCAAAAGCAUAUUUGGCUGAAUAAACCUAGAUGAGAUCUGCAAUUGCAAGCAUCCCAGAAGAGGAAGGUAACCAAGAGAUGAUGAUGUUACUGGUUACUUGACACGUGGAGCUUUGCUAUCCCGGGAGAGAAGGGUGAUGACUGGUUGGACUUAAAGGUGUUAGGACGGAUGAAGAGGAAAGGGUUGACAUUUAAGGCUGUUGCAGCUGCAGCGAGAAGUAAUGGAUAAAUCUUACUUUAAUUCCUAAAGAAAUCAUGAGGUUCAGACCUUCAUAUACAAAGGAAGAAAAAAAUGAAGGCAAAGUCUUCACAUUGUAUAAGAUAGAAACCAGGAAACUGUAGUACUCUCAUGUUCUUUUGCCUUGAAGCAGUGAUAUCUCAUUUCUUCUAUGCUUCAAUAAAUAGCAGAC